GCUGGGAUGCUGAAAUUGGUAGACAGGCAGGUUUCAGAAACCUGUUCCCGUAAAAUCGGGAGUGUGGGUUCGAGUCCCACUCUCAGCA
rnacentral:tRNA from 1 species